rnacentral:rRNA from 1 species
AGCCGCGGUAAUACGGAGGAUCCGAGCGUUAUCCGGAUUUAUUGGGUUUAAAGGGUGCGUAGGCGGCCUUUUAAGUCAGCGGUGAAAGUCUGUGGCUCAACCAUAGAAUUGCCGUUGAAACUGGGGGGCUUGAGUAUGUUUGAGGCAGGCGGAAUGCGUGGUGUAGCGGUGAAAUGCAUAGAUAUCACGCAGAACCCCGAUUGCGAAGGCAGCCUGCCAAGCCAUGACUGACGCUGAUGCACGAAAGCGUGGGGAUCAAACAGGAUUAGAUACCCUGGUAGUCCACGCAGUAAACGAUGAUCACUAGCUGUUUGCGAUACACUGUAAGCGGCACAGCGAAAGCGUUAAGUGAUCCACCUGGGGAGUACGCCGGCAACGGUGAAACUCAAAGGAAUUGACGGGGGCCCGCACAAGCGGAGGAACAUGUGGUUUAAUUCGAUGAUACGCGAGGAACCUUACCCGGGUUUGAACGCAUUCGGACCGAGGUGGAAACACCUUUUCUAGCAAUAGCCGUUUGCGAGGUGCUGCAUGGUUGUCGUCAGCUCGUGCCGUGAGGUGUCGGCUUAAGUGCCAUAACGAGCGCAACCCUUGCCACUAGUUACUAACAGGUGAUGCUGAGGACUCUGGUGGGACUGCCAGCGUAAGCUGCGAGGAAGGCGGGGAUGACGUCAAAUCAGCACGGCCCUUACAUCCGGGGCGACACACGUGUUACAAUGGCGUGGACAAAGGGAGGCCACCUGGCGACAGGGAGCGAAUCCCCAAACCACGUCUCAGUUCGGAUCGGAGUCUGCAACCCGACUCCGUGAAGCUGGAUUCGCUAGUAAUCGCGCAUCAGCCAUGGCGCGGUGAAUACGUUCCCGGGCCUUGUACACACCGCCCGUCAAGCCAUGGGAGCCGGGGGUACCUGAAGUCCGUAACCGCGAGGAUCGGCCUAGGGUAAAACUGGUGACUGGGGCUAAGUCGUAACAAGGUAGCCGUACCGGAAGGUGCGGCUG